AUUGAACGCUGGCGGCAUGCUUUACACAUGCAAGUCGAACGGCAGCGCGGGCUUCGGCCUGGCGGCGAGUGGCGAACGGGUGAGUAAUGCAUCGGAACGUGCCCAGUAGUGGGGGAUAGCCCGGCGACAGCCGGAUUAAUACCGCAUACGACCUGAGGGUGAAAGCGGGGGACCGAAAGGCCUCGCGCUAUUGGAGCGGCCGAUGUCGGAUUAGCUAGUUGGUGGGGUAAAGGCUUACCAAGGCGACGAUCCGUAGCUGGUCUGAGAGGCCGACCAGCCACACUGGGACUGAGACACGGCCCAGACUCCUACGGGAGGCAGCAGUGGGGAAUUUUGGACAAUGGGGGCAACCCUGAUCCAGCCAUGCCGCGUGCGGGAAGAAGGCCUUCGGGUUGUAAACCGCUUUUGUUCGGGAAGAAAUCCUCUGGGCUAAUACCCCGGGGGGAUGACGGUACCGGAAGAAUAAGCACCGGCUAACUACGUG
rnacentral:rRNA from 1 species